UUUUUUUUUUUUAUCUUUUCCUCAAAAUGUUAUUAAAAUCUAAGCUUUUGAUUUGGAUUAUCUUUUGCUAUGUUCAAUUAAUUCAUUCAUUUUCCUUGCAAACUUAAUUAUCUUUAGUUUAUCGCCACUCUAAUGUUUCGAGUUUAGGGUCUAUGGAAUAUAAUAUUUAUUCUGUUAGUUGAUGAAAUAUUCUAAAUACAUUUGACGGAAAAUGUUAAGCUUUGGCAUAAUUUAAGGUUUAUUUCUGAUACUAAAAUUAAUGAAAGUCUAGUUUUUUAAAUCAAAGUUCUUAAAGUUCAUGUAGCCCGUCUCCAAAUGAUCUACAGUUCAAGGUAAGUGAUUUUUACCGAAUAUUAAUCACUCAAUAUGACUUGAUUAGUAGUAAAAAGAAUCGAAAAUUGGUUAAUUUGGGUCGAAAUGCUGUAGCUGAAUUUUGCGAGAAUUGGAUUGCACAGAACCGGAAAGGAGUACUCAUCGAAGGAUAAAAUUCUCGGUGGAAUCAGGAUAGAUAUAUAAGAUGGAGGAGGCGGCUGGAGUUCUUAAAGUGUUUGUCGGCCAAGGGAAGAGGCUCGCGAUUCGGGAUUUCAUGAGCAGCGAUCCGUAUGUCGUCGUGAGGGUCGGGAAUCUGGUGAGUUUUUGAAAUCCCCUUCUCACAACGUUUAAAUCUUUCCGACUUCGGGGGAAAAAAAAUCAGUGGAGGUUUUCUUUUGAUGAAUACGUGCUCGUUUGGCUCCUCGGAAAUGGGUCGAAAAUUGUUUUCGGGGAAAAAAAAAUUGUUUUCCAGGGAAAAAAAUCCUUUUCCCACAGUUUUUGCUUUACUUUUAUACGAAAUCUAGAAAAGACUUUUCUAGGAGAACUACUUUUUCAAGGAACCAAAAGGAUAGAAAUUACUUUCCUCAUUUGAUGAAUUCAUGCUUUGAUGAAUUCGUGCUCCGAUACCAUGCGAAAUAAGCGGGUGUUCGGUUCCUCGAAAAAGCAUUGAAAACUGUUUUCGGGGAAAAAAAAAAAAAAGUUUUCAACCGAAAUCAUCCUGUUCCCACAUUUUUUUUCGCUUAACUUUUCCAUGGAAUCUGGAAAAGACUUUUCUAGGAAAACUACUUUCCCUAGGAACCAAACGGACAGAAAAUACUUUCCUAAUCCGAAAACUAUUUCCUAGGAAAUGUUCCUUUGCAUUUCCUUUGCAUUAUUCGUUUUUAUUCAUAUUCAUGUUUAUUGUUGUUGAGCUAGUUGUUACAAUUAGUUCAUUACUUUCUUAAUGAUAGAUGUGUUAAAGAUAAUGGAAAAGGACAAACUUAUUUUGAGAAAAUAUCUCAACCAACUCCAUUGAAUUGUUAUUCAGUUUUUGAUGAUUUGUUAUUCAGUUUUGAAUGUAACAAACAUAGUCAUCACACCUGUAUAUAUGUACCAUAAACUAUGAAUGAAAAUUAGAGUGGAGAUUUAUCUCUAAUCCUUCUUAUCAAGAUGUACUACUUUUCGUGUACUAUGCAUGUAGAUAACGAGGGAAAUUUAUCGUAGAAGGAACAUGUUGAUCUGUUAAAAAUCACGAGACUCAUUUGAGAACAUGUGUUUUCCAUUGCAUUAUAAGUCUCUUCCCAGAUAUUUAUUUAGUGAUAUGCGACUUCGACAACAUUUGAGAACAUGUUGAGACAAAGUGUUUUUCCAUUAAAUUACAACAGAAGCAAUUUCUUCAGCGUCUCGCUUUGGUAAACGAUAAGUAUAUGAGAACGGCGAUUAGCUUGAUUCGAGGAUCUUCAAAUACGGUGAUGAUUCGAAUACUUGAUCAUAGUUAUCUUGAUAAUCUGGUAUCUUGUAUCUUUUGCGGAACAUAGCUUCACAAUGGUCUCUAUUACUAUUGUUGGAAAUUAAAUUAUUAAAAAACACUGUUCUCUGGUAGCUUAAGCUUUUGGAGAACAACGGCUGUUUCACAUAAUCUUUAACUUGGUAUAUUAACUUUUGGAGAAUAACGGUUGUUUCAUAUAGUGUAACUUCUAUAAUUUGAUACCGCUUUGGAAAUUACGCAUGCUAGAGUAAACCUUCAUGGAUAAUGCGAUAAAUAGCGAUUUAUGACCACAUCUGGAUACUGUGACAACUCGGAAUCCGUUUCCUCUAAUUCCAUCAACUUCGGGGCGAAAUAAUGCGAGAAUAAAUUGCAUCAAUAUGAUUUGGUUUAGCGAGUUUCGGGAAAGCACUGGAAUCGUCUUGCGCUUAUUUUGCUUCUUUUUUUUUUUGUUUCUGUUGUCUGAUCAGACGGCGAAGACGAAAGUCAUUAACAGUUGCCUGAAUCCGGUCUGGAACGAAGAGUUCGCUUUCUCCGUCAAAGAGCCGCUCGGAGUCGUGAAAUUCGUAAGUCUAUUCUUUCCAAGUCUUCGAAUAUUCGACUCAGUUUUGCUCAUUCGAUACCGAGUCUCUAAUCUUGAAUACUUCUAUAGCUAAAGUCUAGGCUAAAUUACAGAAAACCUCUUUAUAAAUGUUCGUUUUUUUACUUUUUCUUUCUGACUCUCAAAAAGCUACAUUUUACUCUGUCGAAAUUUUAAGUUGAUUCACUUAUCCCCCGCUUUCUGUCAUAGUGCUGUCUGUUUCUCUUAAUUUAUACUGAAAAUGCUCUUGCAAUAAUAGAAAUGCAUUAACGAAUUAUGUUUUCCCUCUCUAGAACAAGUAAGGGCAAUUUGGUCAUUUCGUCUUUUUCAUUAACACUGUAACCCUCAGAAAACAUUUCUGAAAGUUUGAGGGGACAAACUGUAGGUUUUUGAAAGUUGGAAUAGAAAAAUGAAAAAGUGGGUAUUUAUAGAGAGGUUUUCUGUAUUUUAGCCGUAAAUCUUUUAUUAAUUGAUCAAUUUUUAGGUUUGUUCCUCAUAACUUCAUGUAGGAGGUGUUCGAUCGCGACCGAUUCAAGCACGACGACAAGAUGGGGCACGCCUUUCUCGAUCUGCAGCCGAUUGCCGGAGCCUCGAAGCUCAAGCGCGCGCUGCAGCUCACCACGGCCGGCGAGACCAAGCUGCGGAAGGUGGCCCCGAACCCCGACAACUGCCUCCUGGCCGACAGCUUCGUCACCCACACCGACGGCGAGAUCGUGCUGGACGCGCGGCUCAGGCUCUGCGACGUCGAGUCCGGCGAAUUGUUCGUGACGGUUAAGUGGAUUGAUUGCGCCGCGGCGGCGGCGGCAAACAGUAGCACUAGUUAUGCAGCAGCUAGGUGAAAGAAAAAAAAAAAAAGAGAUCAAAAUUUGUACAUUAAUGUUGUUUUUUUUUUCUUUUUGUGUUAGCAAGAAGUGGAAUGGAAAUUGAGUUGAGGUGUGAAAUUUUUGUCUUGGUGAGGCUUUUUCCAUGUGAUGAUGUAAAUUUAGAUUGUUAGCUUAAAGUUUGGAAUCAUCAUCAACAUCAUCAUUUUAUUUUUUUUUUUCUUCUUCUUCUUCGUGUUAGGGCCGUAUUAUUGGAUGUAAUUAUAAAUGCAGUACUUAUAAUUACAUGCAUCUUAUUUAAUCUGAUGUAAUUGAAAGUGCUGCAACUAUAAAUAAUAGAGUUAUAGAAUUGGAGCUUUUUAGUCUGAUGUAAAUGAAAUUGCCGGCUCAUAUUCGGUUCGAAAUGAACUCGCGAUCGAUCGCUCGUUAAAUAAAUGAGCCGAAUAUGAACUAAAUUUUUUAGCUUUUAAGUCUUAACAAACAACAGCUGAAUUUUUCAGCUUAAAUCUUAACGAGUUGAACAUGAGCUAGGAUCAGCUUGCUUGUGUUCGGCUCGAUAUAGCUCGAAUAUAUUCAUAAUAUUUUGUAAAUUUUAAUUAUUAUAUUAGGAUUCUAAUUUUUUUAUUUUUUUUUAACUUUUUAUUUAGUAGUAGGGUUUAAGGAUUUAAGUGCCGUGGCACGGGAUCGUGUUGUAAACUUGCUGGCACGGUACAGUGCCUGCCGAGCCGUGUCAAUGCGUGCCGGUAACCAAAAAUUCAUGUGCGCCGAUAAAUAAUAGCAUGAAAUAUUUAUUUUCUUUAGCAACAAAAUAUUUUAACUAUUUAUUAUAUAUUUUUAUCAAUUUUUUAAAACUUUAUUGAAAAAAUUACUUACUAAUUUAAAAAAUAGAGAAUUUUGAGUUGUACCAUCGGUACGGGCCCUGUACCGUGCUGAUAUCUUGUUGGCACGAUACAACACGGUAGAUAUAGCCUGUGCCGAUGGGCACUUAAAUCUUUGAUAGGGUUGAUAAUCUAACUUGCUAUUCGCAAGCCAGCACGAGUUGAAUUUUUCAGCUCAACAUUUUUACGAGCUAGUUCGUGUUCAAUUUGUUAAAUAAAUGAACGAACAUGAGCCGGUCUCAGCUCACUUGUCUUCACCUCAUGGACAGCCCUAGUAUCCAAUAGUUCGCAACCAAACAAAAAAUUUAUAGUCGCAACUAGAGAUGUCAACGGGCCGGAUUCGAGGCAGAUUUUUAAAAACCCGAACCCGAACCCGAUGCCAAACCCGAGACCGAACCCGAACCCGAACCCGAACCCGACGGAUUUUAAAAAUUCAUAUCCAAACCCGAACCCGACCAAAAAUCCAAAACCCGAACCCGAACCCGAACCCGAAAAUUUGAACCUGAAACAAUUAUUUCUUUUUUCAAUAUUUCAAAAUAUAUUAUAUUAAAUCUAAAUUUUUUAAAUACAAAUUCAAAUAUAACAUCAAAUUUUUUUAUAUAUAUUAUAUAUAAUACAAAAUAAAUUCGGGUUCGGGUCGGGUUCGGGUUCGGGUUCGGGUUCGGGUCGGGUACAAUCAAAAUCCAUAUCCGAAUCCAUAUCCGUCGGAUUUUUAUUUUUGAUAUCCAUAUCCAAAUCCGCAUCCAUAUUCAUAUCCAUCGGAUAUAUCCGUUUCAUUUGGGUUCGGAUUCGGAUAAAAUUUUGAGUAUUCAUACCUAUUGAUAUCUCUAGUCGCAACGCUGUCAAACAUGCAUUAUCAGAUAGAUUAAAUGCAGAUAUAACUAUCAUAUUUCUAACUGUACUUAGUCAAUUUGGACAUUAAUGGUGUGACAUAAAAAAAAUUAUUUAAUUAUUCCCAACUAUAUAUUGUGACAAGUUGACUUGAUCAAGUACAAUGCAAAAAUGAUAUUAAGUGAAACCCCACCUAAUUAUUUUAGUUGGAUUUUGAACUCAGAUACCUAUUUUUUUAAUAAUAAUUAUAUAACCCAUUUAUUUCUUGUAAUAAGUUUGGGUUGUUGGUUGGGUUGGAGUAUGAAUUUCAAUGCAUGUAGUUCGGAACAUCAAAUGAGGAAAAAAAUUAUUAAUUGAUUUAAAUUUGAUAGAAAUAGAUCAAAUUUAUCAAAUUUGAUAAAAAUGAAAAACAAAAAUUCUUGAUUUUUCAGGCGUAAUUUAUCUCGCAAUCAAAAUGUCUUAAAAUUAACAAUUUUGUGUUAAUAUGGGAUGUUGGUAAAUUUAAUUAUUCAUCACAUGAUCAUAAUGUAAUUUGAAAUUCAAAGAAUUGUGUGAAAAUUUUAUUUUAAUUGUUUAUUUUUUAUACCAUUUUAUUAUAAGAUAAAUAAUAGGCAAAAAAUAUAAAAUUUGGAUUGUAGGAACUUUAAAUGCCUUAAAGAUCAUAUAAAACAAUAUUGAUCGUUGAUUCAGAUAUCUCAUUGUUAAAAAUAAAGUUAAAUAUAAGCUAAAAUACAUAAAGCUUUUCUGUAAAUACAAGCUAUUUUACUUUUCCUCCCUUACUUUCAAAAAUUUACAUUUUAUCCCCUCAAAAUUUCAAAUUGAUGCAUUUAAGCCCUCUCUGUUAGGUUCCGUCUCUAUUCCAUCAAUUUCUUAUCACUUAUAUCAAAAAUAUUUUUAAAAUGAUCAAGAUAUAUUUAAAAAUUAUAUUUUUAUAAAAUAAGUAGGGCAAUUUGGUCAUUGUCUCUCUCUAUUAACGCCAUAAUCCCGUAAAAAUAUUUUUGAAAUUUUAAAAAACUAAAAUAUAAAUUUUUUAAAGUUAGAAAUAAAAUUAAAAAAUAAAUAUUUACAAAAAAGCUUUCUGUAUUUUAACCUAAUUAUUAUAUUUUAUGGUUUAUAGCUAUUGAUGCCCAUAAUAAUCUAAAACUAUUAUUGUGGAAUUAUUAUUAUUAUUUUUUGAAUGUGAUUAAAUUAAACACAUGAAAUCCUUAUCUUAUUUCCCACUUAGAUUUUUUGUUGUUUUUUUCCUCUUAAAAAAUUAUUUCUUUAUUCUAUUUCAAGUGCAUUUUUUUUUUCUCAGCUGUUUGGUUUGUUGUUCUUGCAUAAUUGAUUUUGGCAUGACUAUUUCUGAAGCUAUUUUGGACCUUUUUUUUUUUCACCAAAAGUGAAGUUCAGAUUAAAAUAAAUUUUUCGGUACAAUAUGAUUCAGAUAUUAUUAUCAUUAUUAUUAUUAUUAUUAUUUACUGUUUGUUUAUUUAGUUGUGACGUUUAAGUUAUUUUAAUUCUGCUGUUUAUUUGGCAUGAAUGAAUGGUGUAAAAAUUAUAAAUAUCAGAAAAAGAUUAAUAUUUUAUUAUUUUCUCACUUUUUUUUCUGUAAUUGACUUUGAUCCGGAGUUAUUUUAUAAGUGAAAUGACCUUUUUGCCAUCACAACUAUGCCCCUCAAAAAAUCCCAACUAUUAAUUGAAGAGGGAUAAAAAGAUCAAUUCACCUCAUUAACUAAUUAGGAUUAGGUAUUUUAACCUAUGGUUAACUAAUUCUUUCUAACGGAUCCUAACCAUAAAGAUAUAUUUGAAAACAUCAGGACUUUUGUAGGAACAAGAUAUAAAAGUUAAACUUUGUAAGAAUAUAUUUGCAAUUCACUAUAUUUACAGGAACCUGUAUAAAAUUAACCCUACAAUUAUAUAUAUACUUUUCAACUACAUACAAAUCAAAAUAAUUAUUUAUAGCUGCAAUACUUGCUACUACAUCUAAAUUUUAUUUCAACUGUACUAUAUUUUCAAUUGCAUUCGACAAAACAAAUUCGUAAUGUAAUGCACUUAUGCACACAUUUUCUA
rnacentral:lncRNA from 1 species